AUGGAGCAAUUGGAGAAGAGGGCUGCAGAACAACAAAUCAAAGAGCUGCGUGAAGAAGAUCUUAAUCGGAGAUUUGACCGGCUGGUUGAGAUGAUAAGAAAGGGUGCCCCCCCUGCUACCAAUGAAGGAGAUUCAUCUAAAGAAGAUGUUCAUCAAAGAAGGAGAGGUAAUCUUGGAGCAAGACCGCCACAACAACAUGUUGUUCAACGUGCUUCAAGAAGGCCAAUUUAUGUUGAAGCUUCUAAAGGUGAGGAAUAUGAUGAUGCCCUUGAAGAACCAGAUCUCUCCGCAUAUCGGAGAGUACCCAACCCUACAUAUGCAAGAGAUACAUACAAGGUGAAAGCUGAGAUCCCAACUUUUAAUGGAAAUGUUGAUAUUGAAGAGUGCCUAGAUUGGUUAUAUGAAGUGGAGACUUUCUUUGAGGUCAUGGAGGUUCCGGAAGAUCGUAGAGUUCCUUCGGUCGCAUACAAGCUGAAAGGAGGAGACGGUGCAUGGUGGCAUCGCGUUCAAGAAGAGCGCAGGCUGAGAGAGAACCUCAUGUGA
rnacentral:rRNA from 1 species